GCGGUGGAGCAUGUGGUUUAAUUCGAAGCAACGCGAAGAACCUUACCAGGUCUUGACAUCUUUUGAUCACCUGAGAGAUCAGGUUUCCCCUUCGGGGGCAAAAUGACAGGUGGUGCAUGGUUGUCGUCAGCUCGUGUCGUGAGAUGUUGGGUUAAGUCCCGCAACGAGCGCAACCCUUAUGACUAGUUGCCAGCAUUGAGUUGGGCACUCUAGUAAGACUGCCGGUGACAAACCGGAGGAAGGUGGGGAUGACGUCAAAUCAUCAUGCCCCUUAUGACCUGGGCUACACACGUGCUACAAUGGAUGGUACAACGAGUUGCGAGACCGCGAGGUCAAGCUAAUCUCUUAAAGCCAUUCUCAGUUCGGACUGUAGGCUGCAACUCGCCUACACGAAGUCGGAAUCGCUAGUAAUCGCGGAUCAGCACGCCGCGGUGAAUACGUUCCCGGGCCUUGUACACACCGCCCGU
rnacentral:rRNA from 2 species